rnacentral:lncRNA from 1 species
GGGAGCACAGAACAAAUACAAAUACGAUCCCAUUGUCUAAACAAACCCAGCGACAGGGUUACUAGGCAGGGUUCUGUUUCUGUCCCUUCAGCUCCCAUCCUCGGAGCCAUGCUUGCUUGCCUGCUUGCUUUUCUCAUCCCAAACCCUUUACACUUUCAAAGGACCUCUUGUGUGGGGAUGAAGUCCAGCAUUUUUUUUUUCCCUCGUGGAUGGAUGCAGUGUUUCAAGUGAACUUCCAAACACAGAAGAGCUCAGCUUCAGAGCAAUAAGACAACAUUGUGGUUUGGCCCAGUGGAAGGAGCUGUCCAGAUGUGAGGGGUAUGCCGUCACUCACGGAGACUCACCUGACUGCUGAACUUAGUGAAAGAAGGCUUGGGGUCAUGCUCCUGUGAGCAGUAGUGACAUGUGAGGUGCGGUUCAGCUCUACUCAGAGGUUGUCCGGACGCUUGGACCUCACUGUAUGAUCAUGCAUCCUGUCCUGAUGCUGAUUUAUCAUCCACCCCCAAUCCAAGCUCCAGGGCCACAGAAACCUGAAGCUGAAAAAGAAGAAAAGUAGUAAGCAAGAAUCGAGGAGGUCUGAGCAGGAAGGGCAAGCCAGAGGAAGACCAUCCAGGAAAAGAAGGGAACAGCAGAGGAAUGUAUUCCUUGAUGGUGGCAUCUCUUUUGAAAUACCACACCACAUCCUACGAACGUGUUAGAAAGAAGAAACAACACUUCUACCAAGUAUUGCUGGACCUCAACUCUGGAAUGUAGAAAUAUCAGUCUGAAAGCCAUCUUGAGCUCUACAGUACCCAAUGAAGUUAGAUCAUUGCCUUCAAGAGGACUUAUGUGUAAAACUCCUACAGGCUGUAGACAUGACUAUGGGUCCAUCCAUAAGCCUACAAAGUCACAACAGCACAUGCUGUGUGGUAUGCUACCCAGACCCCUUAAAGGACAAGGGCAUCCUCCCCAGCACUGGUGUUCUCCCAGGCUAGUCUCUCC